GGUUCCAUAGGGUAGCGGUUAGCACGUCUGCUUUACACACAGAAGGUCUCGGGUUCCCUCCCCCAGUGGAGCCA
rnacentral:tRNA from 1 species